CCCCCGGCGCCGCGCGCUCCAUGGCCGGCCGCAGCCGGGGCCCGGGUCAGGGGCGUCGGCGGGUGGCGCCGCGCUGAGCCCGCCCCGCUCCAGCCUCCACCCACCCCCGCCUCGAAUCCCGCUCCCCGCAGGGCCGCCAGGAAGCGGCUCCCACUGCCAGACCCGCAAACGCGAAGCGCGGUGUUGCAGGCCCCUCGGAGGCGCUCAGCGGAGAAGGGCCAUCUUUCGGUCUUAUGGAGAGAAUUUCAGGCUAGAAACUGUCAUCUCACUAUGAAUGAUCCAGCAAAUCCCGAGGCACUCAUCUUCAGGGGAGAAGAAAUCUAGAACAUUCGAUGAGAAUUUCCAGUCUCGCCUGUUAACAGGUCACAGCUGUUACACUCCUAGAGCUGACAUCAGUGACUUUACCAAGCCGCUCUCACUGAGGACAUGGUGACACCAGAAAACCUCCAGCAUGUAGUACGUUCCUAGUUACUGUGCUGUUAGGGCCGCUGCACCUGGGAGAGCAUUUGCAGGUGAAGGAACCAGGCCUGGAGAGAUGAAACAUGUCAGGCAUGCAGCUGACAUAAUAGGAACAGCUAGGGAAGGAGGAGGAUCUGGUUUGACCUCAGGGCCCCUGAUUGUCCACCGUAGCCUACCACCAACCCUAAUCGACUCCAACAGUGUGGUGAUGCUUUCUCGUACCUAUGCAGCCUGCCAAGCCCCAGCCUAGAAAUACUAGAGUGGAGAUCCUGGUGAUUUUGCUUCUCUUUUAAAAUAUUUUAAUAAAGAGAAGAACUGUGGCAACAUGGCCUUAUUAACUUUUAGGAGCCUCUGUGGGCAGGUUUCCAUCCUAUACAAGCAUAAAUAAAAAUUGGAUGCAUUGUUAGGCAAGCACUGGUUUGGCUUUUAUAAAGAGGAUAAAAAUGACUUUUUAAAACAAAGGAAAACUCAUGCCUCCAAGAUGGUCCUCAUUUGCAGUUAUUAUAAUGCAUAUGAAAUAUACUUAUUUCAAUCACAAUGUUAUUACUCAUAUCACCCCUCUUUGGAAAAUGCCUCUACAGGUUCCAAUACCAUUUUGGGAGAUUUGUUCAGCAUAUCAAACAUCAGAACAAUCAGAUAUUGUUCAGCAUAUAUUCAUUCCAUCCACUGAUAACUUUAUGGGAGGCACUUGUUAAUGUUGGGCUAGGCCACAUGACUUGUUUGGAAUGAAACAUGGGGAGGUAAGGGUGUAGUUCCAAGCCUAUCCUUUGAAGCACGGCAUGUUCCUACUCUCCUGACCUCUGCCAUGGAAAGAUUAUAUGCGUGAAUAGCUUUCCCAUCAGCAUCUGGGUGCUGUACUGCACACACCUAUUGCAGAGCCCCUGAGCCAACCUAGAGACCUGCAGCCUGAAGCUAAGCCGCCCAGCAGGCAUGCAGGCUCAUGCCUGAGACACAACGACUUAUGGUUGCAUGACCUGUGAUUUGGGGAAUGUAUGUUACACAGCAAUAAGUGAUGGUUACAUGUAUGAAUUUCAUUUAUUAGUAUCUUAGAAAAUUAAUUAAGUUACCAGAAAUAGGGUAUGCAUGAUGUUGGUUUUCUUAUUUUGGAUAAAAAAAUAGUGACAAAGUGGUAAUAUCAUGUAUAUACUCAUUAACUUGGUUCCUUGUAAACUGGAGGAAUUUCAAAAUAUUUUAAGCAUAGGUGUGAGAAGGUAGCUUUCCUUCUGGAAAAAGGACAGCUUGUAGUUGCAUAUGUAUGUGUAGGGAUGUUUGAUCCAAAAGCAGACAAGUUCACAAACUCACCAUUGUGUUUUCUUAUGUGUAUUAUCUCCUAUUUAGAUGUCUUUUGAUUAUGGUUUCAUAUCUUUUGUUGGUUUCCCACUGAUUUUCGUUUUCAGCCUCUGCCUGAAACUACUGUUCUUAUGUUUUUUGUGAAUGGUCUCUUUUUCUCCCACACAAUGAAAAUGUCAUCUGCAUGUGUGAA